rnacentral:rRNA from 1 species
GACGAACGCUGGCGGCGUGCUUAACACAUGCAAGUCGAACGGAAAGGCCCUGCUUUUGUGGGGUGCUCGAGUGGCGAACGGGUGAGUAACACGUGAGUAUCCUGCCCUUGACUUUGGGAUAACUUCAGGAAACUGGGGCUAAUACCGGAUAGGGGCUCCUGCUGCAUGGUGGGGGUUGGAAAGUUUCGGCGGUUGGGGAUGGACUCGCGGCUUAUCAGCUUGUUGGUGGGGUAGUGGCUUACCAAGGCUUUGACGGGUAGCCCGCCUGAGAGGGUGACCGGCCACAUUGGGACUGAGAUACGGACCAGACUGCUACGGGAGGCAGUAGUCGGGAAUAUUGCACAAUGGGCCGAAGCCUGAUGCAGCAACCCCGCGUGCGGGAUGACGGCUUUCGAGUUGUAAACCGCUUUCGCCUGUGACGAAGCGUGAGUGACGGUAAUGGGUAAAGAAGCAACGGCUAACUACGUG